GUCCUNGUAGCUUAUAAAUAAAGCAUGGCACUGAAGAUGCCAAGACGGCCCCCGCACACCCGAGGACA
rnacentral:tRNA from 1 species